rnacentral:rRNA from 1 species
CAGCCGCCGCGGGAAUACGUAGGUCCCGAGCGUUGUCCGGAUUUAUUGGGCGUAAAGGGAGCGCAGGCGGUUUAGUAAGUCUGAAGUUAAAGGCAUUGGCUCAACCAAUGUAUGCCUUGGAAACUGUUAGACUUGAGUGCAGAAGGGGAGAGUGGAAUUCCAUGUGUAGCGGUGAAAUGCGUAGAUAUAUGGAGGAACACCGGUGGCGAAAGCGGCUCUCUGGUCUGUCACUGACGCUGAGGCUCGAAAGCGUGGGUAGCGAACAGGAUUAGAUACCCCCGUAGUCCCUGUCUCUUAUACA